rnacentral:lncRNA from 1 species
GACCACCACUGCAUCCCUCUGUCCCUGGGCACCGGUGCAGCCUGUGGGCAGAAUUCAGCCAUGUCCCCUCAGGUGCUGCUCGGGAAGAGCUCCCGGGGCCUUUGGGCAGGGCUCUUCCCCACUGCCGCGGUGUGCGUGCAUGGCAGGCAGGCAGCCGGGCUGUGAGGGUGAAUGUGGAGGGAGAGCCUUGGUGUCCAGCACGCUUGGGUGCUUUGCUGGAGAACCUGGGGACUCAGCAUUGAGAGCGCCGGGCUUUUGAGAUGGAUGCUGCCCUUCAGAGCAGCCCUUCAGCUGCCGUCUUCUGAGGCUGUUGCUAUUUCCCAGCUUCUCUGCCAGGUGAUUCCCCCCUAACAACUGCCUCAUGCCCCCCUCUCC